rnacentral:tRNA from 2 species
GUUUUGAUAGUUUAAUAAAAACUUUGGUCUUGUAAGCCAAAUAUGGAAUAAUUUUCUCAAAACU